rnacentral:sRNA from 1 species
UAAAUUCUUUAAAAAUCUUUUAAAAACCCUUGUAAAUAUUUUAAACGCCUUAAAAAUUCCUUGUAAAUCUUUUAAAACACUUUUAAACCCUUUAAAAAUCUUUUAAAACCCUUUAAAAAUCCCUUGUAAAUAUUUUAAAACCCUUUUAAACCCUUUAAAGAUCUUUUAAAAUCCCUUGUAAAUCUAUUUCCAGCCAAAAAAAUAUUUUUGCGGGAAAAAUGUUUUUGAGAAAAAAACUUUGAUGGAAAUUUUUUUUUCGAAAUUUUUUGGUGGGAAAUUUAUUUUGGAAUAUUUUAGGCGAAAAAAUAUUAAUAUUUCAUUUUGUUAACCUAAAACAAUUUCGAAAUAUGAGUAAAAUGGUCAUUAAAAAUUUAAAGAGGUAUAAAUGAAAAUGGCAAAUAAGAAAAGGUAGAAUUGAAAAGGGGUAGUGUGGAAAGGACAUUCUGAGCAAUUAUUCAAUAUUGUAUGACUACUAAAUUCUCAUAUGCAAAU